GGAGGGAGUAUUCAAGGAGGUAGUGAUUUAUCUUUCUAUUUUGUAGUAUUGACCAUCAGGUGGCUACACACAACUUAUUAUAAGUUUUAGUUCGACAAAGCACUGUUGCCGUUUCAUUUUAACUCACUUCUGAUAAUGAGGUACUUACUAUGUACAUGUGUCUAGAUGAGUUGGCCAAUACAGAUUUGAAAUAUACAAAUUAUCAAAAAGCAAGAGAAAGCACGAUCAAAUUCGUAUUGGUUUCUAAAGUAGUUUGAUAGAGGAGCUUUAGUUUCUACCCCGAAGCGAGUACAUAUUUUAUUCUAUAUCUCAUUUUAAAAUUUUGCAUGAGUAAUUUGAAAUGGUAUUUGGUUUUGCUGUUAUCAUCACAGUUUGUUUCCUUACAUACUUUCCUCAGUUAUUUUUUUUCUUUAUUGAAAGGCCAGGCGGGAGUUCAGUUCGGCCAAUUUUCUAUAGAACUAGAAAAUGAUUCUGUACAGAAGGAAUGAACAAACUAGCAGCAGAUAUAACCCUUCAAAACAAAGGAAAUAUGACGCUGCAAUUUUCCUAUACUGAAAGGUAGCAAGGUUUUUUCUGCAAAAAAAAGGUAGCCAGGUUUUAAACUGUCGGCGACACUGUUGGCUGCAUGGAGUUCUUGAGUUGCGCAGGCUUUUCUGUUACUUGGUUCCUGGUGUAGAGAAAAAAAGGCCCAAGAUUGAUGAAAUAAAACAUUCAUAUGAAGUUUUCAUGCAGUUCUAACUAUGGACCACCGAUUCAUAUUUUCUUCUUCCUGAGUCAUAAGGUAGUCGCCUUUCUAUUUGACUAUGUAACAGUAACACAUAUGGGGUUGUCUUAUAUUUGUAUUUAGCCUGCAUUAAAUAAGUACAAUUUAUUCCAAACAUGCUGAUUUUUUUGAUGGAUUUUUAUGUUUAUUCCAAUUGAACUAAAACAUACUUGCAUCACAUAUCAAACAUAUGGUUAUAUUAGUUUUCUCUAUUGGCACUAUCCUAUGAAAAUUCUGCACUACAAUUACUUAAUUUGUUGUUACUAACUAUGGUCAUUUCAUAUCUGUGUCCUACUUUUAGCUUGAGAGAAAGUAUGAGCAGGUCUUCCUAUUGUUCUCAGAAAGUGCAGAAUUAGUGCUCUAUCUAGCCCUGUAUACUCUUAGCAGUUUUUUUAGUUGUAACUUACUUUCCCAAUCAAAUUCACAUGUUAGGAUGUUGUGUUUAAUAGGAUUGUCCUAUGUGAGAUGACUGUUAGAUUAUUGUUGCCCAUGUAGCUCAGUGGCCCAUAACGUUUAUUUGCACCUUUACGCACCAACUUUAAUUUUAGUUUGCACUAACUAUGACAAAUAUGUACGGUUCCUGUUAAAUGUCUGCUACAGAAUAAGGUUGUAUCUGUGUUCAUUACGCUGUUAGUUAUUAGCUCCUAAAUUUUCAAUUUAUUUAGUCCCUAUGUUUUUGUUCAGGUUUUGAGAGAAGUCCAUAUUACAACCUCAAACUACCACCAAAGUCUAAAACACAACCCUGGACUAUGAAACCAUCUAGUUUACAACCUUGAAAUUUCAAAACCGGACAGAAAACAACCCUGGGGUGGUAUUUGACCAGUCAACGCCAACUCAUCCGCCAUGUCCAGCUUUAGUCAAAUUUUGGCAAAAAAAACAGCGUCCAGAAUUUUUUUUAAAAAAUUCUCUAAAAUCUACACAACCCUCAUAUUAAAUCUGGGAAAAUUUCAACAAAUCUUGCAGAGCAGAAAAAAUAGUUAGAGCAAAAAUUCAAAUUCGGAGCCAUUUUAGGUCAAAUUUUGCCCAAAACAAAGUGUCCACUUUUUAAAAAAUUGGGUAGAAAUCUUUGGGAAUUCAGAGCCAUUUUCAGAUUUUUUUUUUCACUUUUGUUUGGUAGAAAUUUAACAAGAGGAGGACGUGGCGGAUGAGUUGGCCCUGACUGGCCUGUUGACUGGUCAAUAUCAGUCAAAACCAGUCAAAUACCACCCCAGGGUUGUUUUUUGUCCAGUUUUGAAAGUUCAGGGUUGAAAACUAGACGGCUUCGUAGCUUAGGGUUGUGUUUUAGACUUUGGUGGUAGCUUGAGGUUGUAAUAUGGACUUCUCUCUCAGGUUUUUCAGUUAUGUCAAUUAGAUACUCCACAAGGAAACAUUGAGUUUAGGAUCAAGCGUCUGCAUACAUUGAUAUGGAGGGAUGACAGGACACAGGGAAAAGACAAGACACCAAGGUCGAAAUUUUUUGGUCACUUUGGGCUUAUUUACGGGUUAAUUCAUUGUUACUGAAAUUUUGUUAUGCAGUGAGAAAGGUAAAAUUUGUGAUGUACGUAGCACUAUCUUUUUCAUUUUUAUUAAAAUUAGUGUGCCUGAAAUCACAGUAUAAUUCCAUUUUGCCAACCAUUCAUUGUGCUAUA